rnacentral:rRNA from 1 species
UACACUCCUGCGGGAGGCAGCAGUGGGGAAUAUUGCACAAUGGGCGCAAGCCUGAUGCAGCCAUGCCGCGUGUAUGAAGAAGGCCUUCGGGUUGUAAAGUACUUUCAGCGGGGAGGAAGGCGAUAAGGUUAAUAACCUUGUCGAUUGACGUUACCCGCAGAAGAAGCACCGGCUAACUCCGUGCCAGCAGCCGCGGUAAUACGGAGGGUGCAAGCGUUAAUCGGAAUUACUGGGCGUAAAGCGCACGCAGGCGGUCUGUCAAGUCGGAUGUGAAAUCCCCGGGCUCAACCUGGGAACUGCAUUCGAAACUGGCAGGCUAGAGUCUUGUAGAGGGGGGUAGAAUUCCAGGUGUAGCGGUGAAAUGCGUAGAGAUCUGGAGGAAUACCGGUGGCGAAGGCGGCCCCCUGGACAAAGACUGACGCUCAGGUGCGAAAGCGUGGGGAGCAAACAGGAUUAGAAACCCUUGUAGUCCCA